CACUGACCUCUCACCUUGCUUCCUUGAGCUUCUGGCAAAUAUAUCUCUUUUUGUAUUUGUAGUCACUUUUUGUAUCACACAGCUUUGUUACAAUGCUGACGCCCAUCCCAUGUGUUCCCUAUUAAGGGUUAAUAAGUAUAUAGGGGUGUUUAUAAAAAUACCCCUCUCUGUCUCAUUAGAGAUAUCUUUGCCAGAAGCUCAAGGAAGCAAGGUGAAGGGUCAGUGU